CAAACACGACAUGUUCUGUGUUAAGAGAAACAGCGUUGCUAUAUGGGCUUUUUCCCCCCAGAAGGUUGUCUAUUUACACAUCACAUAAAACAACACAGCAUUUUUAUAGAGUUGUGUUUGUAUCCGCCUGAUGAAUGUAAGUCCAAUAUUCACUCUGUUUUUUAGGCUCCACCAACACCAGAGGGAAAUAUCUGGCUCUUUAGCUGCUAAAUGCUCCACUUUCUUCACCAGCAAGUGCUGAGCAGGUGAUGUAUAGUGAGUUUCUCAGAGUUUGUGUGCUGCAGAGACUAAAAUCCAAAAGAGUAAACGUUCGUUAAAACCAAAACAAUGAUGUGGACGAUGCUAAAACAGCCCGUAUGGCUGAAGAGAACGGUAAGUAAACUCAGGACUUUCACUCAUGACAAUGAGGUCUGAGUCCCGUGUCAAAGUUGACUUGUUUUAAGGUAAAUAAAAGAUGACUUACGUAAUGUACCUAUUUUAACCCCAUGAUCUUUUAUCACAUGUUAAACGUCAUGUGACUUUGAUCACAUGACCUACAUAGCAUACUGAAGGUCCUCUACGCCUGCCACUGGACUGGUAUGGGAAACGCUCAUAUGUAUAGCUUUGGAAAGCGGUCUUCUACUGUAUAUUGUAUACACAUCCUCAUCUGUUUUGUUGUUUAGGUAUGAGGACGUGUUCCCCAGUGUGAGAUACCGUACUUUAAAACUUGCACUGCUUUGUGACACUGACUCCUCCUUCUCUUUUAAGCCCAUGACAGGAAGCAGAGAGAUUGAAAAAGUUAGUGAGACUCAGAAUGAAGGCAUGAGACACGAAGAAAAAGGAUGCAAGAAAAACCCCAGAAGAAUCAGCCAGUUCCUCUAAACAACAAAGCUUUGAGAGAGAUUAGUUUAACACACAAGGGCACGAGGAUGCCCAGAGAGACAGAGAUCACACAACCUUUUAUCUAAACUACAAGACAAGUUCACAAAAUCUGAUCCGAAGCCCUCUCUGAGUUGUGAUCAGAAUCUACGCUGCCUUUCAGUGGAUAACUGGAUCAAACAGAUUGAUCUGAGCCAGACAGGACGGGAAAGAUCGGAUCCGGGGACCGACGGUGAGGAGGACGAGGAGGAGAAGAGGAAAGGACGAAUUUCAGGAUUCCUGAGAUUUAGAGUUAAUUACAGAAGAGAAAGUAGGAUGAUAGAUGAGAGAAAAUUUGAAAUUCGAUGAUGGAAGGAGGAGAGGGAAUAGGAAAGGUGCGACCAAGGAAGAGAAGAAAUUAAGAGGAAAAGAUGAAACACAAGAGAAAACAAGGUGACAGGAGAAACAAAAACAACAGGGGUGGGGGGCUCAGUGUAAAGCUCUCUGUGUGCAAACAGCUGCACGUGUUGCAUUAUAAUUCCUGCAGGUUUCAGUGCUCUGCAGACACGUUUUAAAUUCGCAGGAGGGGCGACGGUGAGUUUCCAGCAGGAAGCCUCUGACCAGCUGCAGUGCAGCAGCUCGCAGACAACACAAACACCUCAGCAGCACCCAUGCAUUACUGCCAAUAACAACAGAAGCAGAAGAAGAAGAGGAAGAGAAGAAAGAUUAUGGACGUGCCUGUACCCUCUGGAUGUGUUUGGACUGCUUGCUUGGUUUUGAUCUCCGCCUGCCUCACAAAUCCUGUAAGCUUGUGUUCCCUCUUAAUUUGUUUCUAAAUAAACACUAGAAACAUUUA